rnacentral:rRNA from 1 species
UAGUAACGGCGAGUGAAGAGGGAAGAGCUCAAAUUUUGAAUCUGGCGUCUCUGGCGUCCGAAUUGUAAUCUAGAGAAGUGUUUUCCGUGACGGACCGUGCACAAGUCUCCUGGAAUGGAGCGUCAUAGAGGGUGAGAAUCCCGUAUAUGGCAUGGACUCCCGUUGCUCUGUGAUACACUCUCGACGAGUCGAGUUGUUUGGGAAUGCAGCUCUAAAUGGGUGGUAAAUGCCAUCUAAAGCUAAAUAUUGGCGAGAGACCGAUAGCGAACAAGUACCGUGAGGGAAAGAUGAAAAGCACUUUGGAAAGAGAGUGAAACAGUACGUGAAAUUGUUAAAAGGGGAAACA